GAUCAUGGCUCAGGAUGAACGCUAGCGGCAGGCUUAACACAUGCAAGUCGGAGGGGCAGCAUAAUGGAUAGCAAUAUCUAUGGUGGCGACCGGCGCACGGGUGCGUAACGCGUAUGCAACCUACCUUUAACAGGGGAUAACACUGAGAAAAUUGGUACUAAUACCCCAUAAUAUCAUAGAAGGCAUCUUUUAUGGUUGAAAAUUCCGAUGGUUAGAGAUGGGCAUGCGGUUG
rnacentral:rRNA from 1 species